rnacentral:rRNA from 1 species
UGCCCAUAGUAGCGGCGAGUGAAGCGGCAACAGCUCAAAUUUGAAAUCUGGCGCAAGCCCGAGUUGUAAUUUGUAGAGGAUGCUUCUGGGUAGCGACCGAUCUAAGUUCCUUGGAACAGGACGUCAUAGAGGGUGAGAAUCCCGUAUGUGACCGGCCCGCACCCUUUACGUAGCUCCUUCGACGAGUCGAGUUGUUUGGGAAUGCAGCUCUAAAUGGGAGGUAAAUUUCUUCUAAAGCUAAAUACCGGCCAGAGACCGAUAGCGCACAAGUAGAGUGAUCGAAAGAUGAAAAGUACUUUGGAAAGAGAGUUAAAAAGCACGUGAAAUUGUUGAAAGGGAAGCGCCUGCAACCAGACUUCGCGGCAGUGUUCCGCCGGUCUUCUGACCGGUUCAUUCUCUGUCGCGAGGCCAUCAUCGUCUGGGCCCGCCGGAUAAGACCUGAGGAAUGUGGCUCCCCCUCGGGGGAGUGUUAUAGCCUCUGGUGAUGCGGCGUGGCUCGGGCGAGGUCCGCGCUUCGGCAAGGAUGAUGGCGUAAUGGUUGUCGGCGGCCCGUCUUGAAACACGGACCAAGGAGUCUAACAUCUAUGCGAGUGUUCGGGUGUCAAACCCCUACGCGUAAUGAAAGUGAACGGAGGUGGGAACCGCAAGGUGCACCAUCGACCGAUCCUGAUGUCCUCGGAUGGAUUUGAGUAAGAGCAUAGCUGUUGGGGACCCGAAAGAUGGUGAACUAUGCCUGAAUAGGGUGAAGCCAGAGGAAAACUCUGGUGGAGGCUCACAGCGGGUUCUGACGUGCAAAUCGAUCGUUCAAAUUUGGGUAUAGGGGGCGAAAGGACUAAUCGAACCAUCUAGUAGGCUGGUUCCCUGCCGGAAAGUUUCCCUCUGGAUAGCAAUAAACGUUUUCAGUUAUUAUGGAGGGGGAG